GAUGAACGCUAGCGGCAGGCUUAAUACAUGCAAGUCGAGGGGCAGCGGGAGUAGCAAUACUUGCCGGCGACCGGCGCACGGGUGCGUAACACGUAUGUAAUCUGCCCAUCACAGGAGAAUAGCCCGGAGAAAUUCGGAUUAAUACUCCAUAAUAAAUUGAGUGGCAUCACUUGAUUUUGAAAGUUCCGACGGUGAUGGAUGAACAUGCGACUGAUUAGUUAGUUGGUGAGGUAACGGCUCACCAAGACCACGAUCAGUAGGGGUACUGAGAGGUUAAACCCCCACACUGGUACUGAGACACGGACCAGACUCCUAUGGGAGGCAGCAGUAAGGAAUAUUGGACAAUGGCCGCAAGGCUGAUCCAGCCAUGCCGCGUGCAGGAAGAAGGCCCUAUGGGUCGUAAACUGCUUUUGUACGGAACGAAAAGACUCUGGUUAAUACCUGGGGUCCAUGACGGUACCGUAAGAAUAAGCACCGGCUAACUACGUG
rnacentral:rRNA from 1 species